GGGGGCGAUUUGGAUUCGACCGGAUAGCCUGAAGUGUCAGUGGCGUGUCGUGGUUGAUCAGCAGGCCACGUUAAAAGCUGAUCACAAUUUUAGUUGCAGAUGAAAAUCUCGCACUGGCUGCAUAGCAUGUAGCCCCGACUGCGGAUCUUCGCCGGAGAGAUCCAAAAGUCGGCCGCAAUUCCGGCUAGUCUCAAGUCAUGUCGAGUACGUUUGAGGCGAAACUCUGUUCUCGAAUGGAGUGAUCAAUAGCCUGUCGGUGGGCGCUUGGUAACUCGACAAAUAAAGCACUGACUACACACGUAGAAGCUGGCAUGGAAAUGUCACGGGACGCGGGUUCGAUUCCCGCCGCCUCCAUC
rnacentral:tmRNA from 1 species